rnacentral:lncRNA from 1 species
UUUCUCUAUCUGAUUUUUUUUCUGUUGUCUGAAAAUCUUGUUUUUUGAUCUUUCAUCAAGUCCUUUCUUUCUGUUUUGAUGUUAUAUAUAUAUAUAUAUAUAUAUAUAUUUUAUUUUUUUUCUCUUAUGAAGAUUUAUUUGAUCUCUUGCAAAUUUGUUAGUUGGGAAGAAUUUGGAAUCACUGAAUUUCCUACUUUGCCUUGCAUUUCCAGUAUAAGACAGAUCAAUUGAAUUUGGGAAUGCCUGGAAGUGAAAAGGAACCGACUUUGUCCAUUUUUUUUGUAAAAAGUUAACAGUUUUUGGCUUGAUCUAUACAUUUUUAGACUUAUUUUUGUGUCAGUUUUCUGUAUGAAAGCAUCAAUUAUCUAUCUGUUAUAGAUAAAUUGGUUCCAAUAUUAGUGGCCGUUUUGCUCUUUUUGGCUUUAUAGUGUUUGAAGCUAAAGAUAGAACCAUUUCUGUUGCCUCUGCUUUUCCUGGUCAUCAAGGAGGUAAUUUUCAAAUUUUCACCUGUCUCUCAGUAUUUUGCUCCUGGGAUUAAUGAUAAGAACUAAUAUCAAAUGGCCUGUUCAUGGUGGCCAGCAGUAGAAUUAUUUGGUAUCAUCAUAUUAGUUUUAUUCAUUAAAUUUUACCUAUUGUUUGAACAUCUUCAGUAUGGAAAUGGAGAUGACUUGACUGCGAUAAAUGUUCAUAUCUGAUAGUUUAAUGAUAAGAAAUAACAUCAAAUGGCCUGUUCAUGGUGUUCAGCAGUAGAAUAUCAACAUAUUUCGUUCAUUCAUUGAAUUUUACCUAUUGUUUUAACAUCUUCAGUAUGGCAAUGGAGAUGACUUUACUUCCAUAAAUGUUCAUAUCUGAUAGGUUUUUUAGCUGUGUUACCUUUUAUAGAUCAUAGUGACGGUUACAUCAUUGAUGAUCUCGCUUGGAUUGUAAUAGUAAUGAUUCAUAUAUACUUGAUUAAUGCGGUAGAUUUCAUUUGCUUUAUUAGGAGGGCAAUGAUUUGGGAAAACCAUCAUGCUUGAUAUUUGGUUGAUGGUGAUCAAAAUGUUCUUUUUUCUGUUUAUUGUUCAACCAGUUGUACAGGACAGAGACCACAAAUUCCUAACACAAGCAAUUGAUGAGGCAUAUAAAGGCGUUGAAUGUAAAGAUGGGCGCCCGUUUGGUGCAGUUGUUGUUCGCAAUGAUGAAGUAGUUGUGAGUUGUCACAAUAUGGUUUUGAGAAACACUGACCCUACUGCGCAUGCAGAGGUUACUGCCAUUAGAGAGGUAAGACCAAAACAAGAAAAGCAAAAAAAAAAAAAAAAAAAAAAAUAAAUUGCCUCAUCCAAUUUAUCUGUUUACUUAGAAGUUUUGAAAGUGCCAAUCUCCGAAACCAUGAAACAUUACGUAAAGCUAAAUGUUGUUUGUUAACUGUAGGAAAAUAUAAUAACUUCAGUGGAAGAUAUAUUAUAUAUAUUAUAUGCACCAACAUUCUUUUGGGAUUUUUCAGCAUUUUUCUGUGAUUCUACCGUGAUCUAUUUGCUCUGUUCAUUUUAGAUCAAUCUCAUAACUGGAUUUGGUGAAAGUUUAUUAUCAAUUACUAUGGCUUUGUUUUAUUUAAUGGCAAUGGUUAGCUGUAUUUCUAGGAGUCAUAUAUAGUCAAUAAGUUUGCAUAUAUUUUCUGGUUCUCUAAAUGGUAACAACUGGAAAGUACUAAAUACUGUGAGGAAAUACAUUUUAAUUCAGAACGAUUGUCAUCAGUGUUGGUUAAACAUUGCUAUAUGAGAAUGUUAGGUAUUCAUAAGAUCAAAAUAACCACAUGGAAAUCCAUGUUUACCAUUUUCUAAUGCUUUGGACUGGACAUCUAUGACAGGCAUGCAAGAAGCUCAAUCAGAUUGACCUCUCUGACUGUGAAAUAUAUGCUUCGUGUGAGCCCUGUCCAAUGUGCUUUGGUGCCAUCCAUCUGUCAAGAAUCAAGGUCCAGCAGCAAAACAUAUCAUUUCAUAAUAUACCUACAUAUCACAUUUCUUCAUCAAAAUUCUGACUUCUUUUUUCUUUUGCUGCAGAAGCUGGUUUAUGGAGCCAAAGCCGAAGCAGCCGUAGCGAUUGGGUUUGAUGAUUUCAUUGCCGAUGGCUUGAGAGGUACUGGCUUUUACCAGAAGGCUCACCUGGAGAUCAAGAAAGCUGACGGCAGUGAUGCUGUCAUUGCUGAACAAGUAUUUGAGAAGACCAAGGAAAAGUUUACCUUGUAUUAACAUCUUCAGUUCGUUACCAGAAUCAGACAGCAGUUUAUGAUAAACUGCUCAUUUAAGUUCUAAAUAAUAACUAUGCAUUGUUUGCCCAUUUAGGAUGGCAGUUUAUGAUAAACUGCCCAUUUAAGUUCUAAAUAAUAACUAUGCAUUGUUUGAUUUCAGAAAUCAUGUGAGAAAUAAAAGCUAUGAUUAAUUUUAAGGUCAGAAUUUAUAAAGAAAAUGGGAACCAUUAUUUCGAAGUUAACAAACAAAAAUGGCAUUGACACAGAUUUUAUGAACUGUUGCCACGGAGGUCAUAAAACUGUGAUUUUAGGGAUCUGCACCAUAGGCAAGGUUUAGAAAAAAAUGGCUAACAGAUGUAGAAUAUAAUUAUAGGAUCAUAUUGGAGUAAAUCAAGUAAUUUUAACCAUGACACGGUAAAAAUAUAUGUAAACGACAUGACAAAUAAUUUUAGCAAAAAUUGCAUAAGAGUUUGAAAAAAAAUGUUUUAUAUUUAAUAUAUUAAUACGAAUUGUAAUAAAAUAAUUUUUAUAUUUUACACAUAUUUAAUAUAAAAUCAAUAUACAAAUUACCUCAAAAAUUAAUAUGAUAGCAAACAAAGGCCAUGUCCGAGCCUUACAAUUCCAACUUUAAAACACUUUUCCAUGAUUCCAAGCUGUCCAUAAAAAUCAAAGACAAAGAGUGCAAGUUUGGUUAAUUUUAAUUUCAAAUAUAUCUGCCUUUUAUCUUUCUUUUACUUGUAUCUGUCUCAUCUUUAAUUCCCACCAACGAUUAACUUCCACGUAAACUCUUUGAAUAGAUUAAUCUUUGUAUACAUGUUUGAUUUUUGAUGAAUGAGAAUCUGUGAUACAAUUUUUUCUGGUCUCUAUCAUGAAAAAUUAACCCUUCUCCCAGCUUUCUUUCAGUAUAUAGCAAUAAUGUCGUUUGAAAGCAAAAAAGUUAUUUCGCUUUUUUUUUUUCUUUUUUUGUUUUUCCCUCGUUUUUGAACUGCUAACCCCAAUGAAUGAUCAAGUCAUUCUUGAUUGAAUGCUCCGAUGGAUAUAUGCCAAAAACUCGGAAUAGGAUUGACCGCCCUUCGGAUUCGAGUCUUCAACCAAAUAAGAGAAGAAGAACAUUCCUGGGAAGAAGGAAUUCAAGCAAACAAAACAUGUUAACAAUUUGAUUCUCUUGAAAACGAUCAUUUACGUUAUGGAGCAGGCAGCAUUAAGAUCCUCAAGUAAUGGAAUCAAUAGUCUAGGGGUCAGGGAACAUUGAAAAUUUACUCAUGGAUUAGCACAAAGAAGCAUCAAAGAAGAAGUGAGCUAAAAGGCAGGAAAGAAGAGGUCAAGUUUGUGCUUAUCUUAAGAGCCAAUGUUUUCCGGCAGCCUUUCUUUACUAUUCUGAAGUGUCUAGGUUUUCUGAUCUGUUUUUUUUUUAAACUGGAUUUUGGUGUCAACUGUAUGUUUAGCUUUUUCAUCUGAUUGUCCUAUUUUGGUAUUCUUCCAGGAUUUUGGAUAUUUGUAUAAUACAUUCAUAUUUCUUAUAAUUUGCCCUUGAUUUUGUCAAUCUGUAAUUUUUUGGGUUAGGAUAUGUUUGCACGGUUCUUGUUUUUAACUCAAAUGUUGCAUGAUUCCAGUUUGGAGAAGGCUUAAUACAUAAUUCAAUUGUAAUGAUCAACUCUAUAGCUAGUUUGAUUUAUACUGGAUUAAGAAACACAAUUUUUAACGAUAAUAUUGAAAUAGAAAAGCACUUAAUAUAAAAAUAAUAUGGAAAAAAAAAAAGGAAAUGAGAUAUAAAUUAAUGUUAGAUUAAAAAUCAUGACUUAACAAAAAUAAAAAAUAUAAUAUUUUUUUAACGAUAUAAAUUAUGAUAUGUAAUAUUCGUGUAAAAUAAUAAUAUAAAUUAUUAGAUAAACUUUCAACAUGAAGGACAAUUAAUGAAUAAUAGGCCAACAAACCUUUAUUAGUGGAGUUAAUGGAAUUACUGAUAGAAAGAUCAAGUCGGUCCAACUGUUCAAUUAUGGAGAUUAAUAAGUGAUUUUUGAAAGUAUUUAUGCUUAAAGGAUAUUGGACUUGAAAUUUGAAGGAAUCAAAUUUAUAUCUAUAUAAACAUUGUUGGGGACAAUGGGCUGUAGCAACUUGUUAGUGGCAAUAAAUUAAUCAUUCAGAAACAAUUUUAUUUUUUAAUUAUUAUUUUUUCAAGGUUAAUAUUUAAAAAAAGUUGUUUAUGAUAAGUUUUUUGAUUGAUACGUGAAUUUUUUAAAUAAAAAUAAUAUUAAAAAUGGUAAAAUUAUAGAAUAAAUCAAUAAAAACUUCAAAGAUAAUAACAUAAUUACAAACAGAAAAAAAAAGUAAAAAAUAUUUAAAAAGUAAUUGAAAACUCAAAAAAUAAUUUUUUUCUUUGAAUCCGAAGAUAUAUGAUCAUGAAAAGAAAAUAUCAAAUGAGAAUGGAAAAAAUAUGACAUCAAGUGAAAAAAAUAUUGGUUAUAAAUUGAGUUAAUCCAUAAAUAAUUUUAAAUUAUAAUGAAAUAUUUUAUAUAAUGUGUGAAUUUUAAAAAUUUUUAAUAUGAUAUUUGAAUUAUAAAUAUGUUAAUUAAUAUAAUAUUUAAUUUAAUUUGAUUAAUUUUAAAUAAUAAUACGUGAUGGACAAAUAACAUUACAUGUAUCAUAUUAAUUAAUAAAUUUAUUAUUUAUAUAUUAUAAUAAAAAAUUUUAAAAUUAAAAUAUCAUGUUUUUAUUAUAGUUUAGGACUAUUCAUACAUUAACCUUUUCAAAAUCAAACCUUUAAACGAGAUAACAAAAAAAAAAGUGUUGGUGGUGGGUAAUUAGAUCUAAUUUUAAACUAUUUUGAAUUUAAUAAAUUUGUUUAAACUCAAUAACAAUUUGGAUUUUUUAAAAUAUUUUUUCUAUUUAAUUUUUUUAUUUUAUGUAUGAAUUAUAUUAUUUUAAAAAUAAAAAAUAAAUAAAAUGAUUAAUUGAAUAAAUUAAAUAUAACUACUAUUUUUUAUUUUAAAAAAAUCAAUGGUUUAAAAUAAUUAUCUUGAUUUAUUAUGAAUAUUUAAUAAAUAUUAUUAUUUUUUAGUAUUCAAUUUAAAAUUAUUUUUUAUAAAGAUAUUUUUUCACACCUUAAAAAAAAAAACCCACAAGCAGUGGAGGUAUCAUUUUAUUAUAUGGAUUUAAUCUUAAAUUAAAUGUAAUCAAUACUUUGGCGGGCCAGCCAGCAACAAAUUACCCAUCGCAUUCCAACUCUCAGAAUCCUACAGCUAAGUUUGGCAAUUCUAAAUACAAUGUACGGUGAUAAUAACAUGUAUAAAUAUAUGAAAAAAAAAUUAUAAAAAUGACAUAAUUUAAAUAUUCAUUCAAUAUUUGAGGGAGUUUGAAAAAAAUUAUUAUACCUCAAAUAAGUUUAAGAAAAAAAAUGGGACCGUAUAAUUAAAAAAUGAGUUGAACCUUAUCUUUAACAUUUAAGACUGGAGCACAUGGCUCGAUCUUUUUUUCUAAAUUAUAUAAUAUAUGUUAUGUAAUUUAUAUUAUAUAAAAGAUAAAAUAUUUAAUAUUACAAUGUAAACAUUUAAAAUUAGGUUAAGUUAUUCAUAUUUUAAAAUUUAAUAAAAAAUAAAAUUAUUAAAGAUUAAAUAAUUUUUUUAUUUAGAAAAAAAUAAUAUAAAUGGAUGAAUUGUAAUAUUUACAAAUAUGAGUAAAUUUGACAUAUUUAAAAUUUAAAUUAUUGAAUCGAGUCAAAUUAAAUUUGGACAAACAUAUAUAAUAUUAAUAUCAUAUUUUCACUAACCUUAUCUAUGGAUACUUUUAGAUUAAGAUCUUAAACUUUAAUAUAUUAUUAUAAAAAUUUUAAAUAUAAAUUAUUAAAUUUUCAUUAAAAAUAAAAUCAAAAGUAAAAAAAAAUAAAAUCUAUAUGGAUAUUCACAUACUACACAUUAAAUUGGUUUUAGAUCGCAAAUAUUACAUUUCAAUCCAAAAUUUUUAGAAAGAUGGGAUUGAAAUCAAAUUACAGAGAAUAACAAAGUUUUUUUUUUUUUUUUCUAAGUGAUCUUAUCCACUUUUUUGAAGUAUAUAGUUCAUAUAUUUAUAUUUUUCAUUUAAUGAUUUUACAUAAAUAAUAAAAUGAAUAUAGUAAAACGUAUCCAUACAAGAAAAAAUUAAUAGAUAUGGAAAUCCAACCUACCAAUGGCAUAACAUUCCAAUUAAAAAGUAAACGUGUUUCACCAAUUUAAUUUUACUUUAUUUGAAUAUUUGAAUAUUUUACAGAAAAAUUUAUUUUUAGGGCAUCUUAUGGUUAAAAAGAUAUUAUAGAAUUUUUCUUUUAAAAAAUAAUUUAUUAAUUAAAUAAAAAUAAUUUUAUCAUUUUGACUUUGACUCGAACUUACGUAUUUGAAUUAAUUUAAAUUCUUGGGAUUCAUGUAAGUUUAAUUACCUCAAGAUAUGAUUUGUAAUUUCUAAUUAAAAUAUCAAAAUAUUUUUAAAAAAAUAAAAAAAUAAAAAUUUAAAUGUAUAAGGAUAAUAAACUUGUUUUAUCUACAAAAUUUAUAAUUGACCAUAAAGGCAUUUUUUUUAAAGAUUUUUAGUUUAAGUUUACAAAUAAAACUUUUAAAGGAAAACAUUAUUUUUAUUAUUAUUUAACAUUAAAAUUAAAUAAAAAUAACUUUUGAAAGUAAAACCAUUUUCAACUCCAAUAGCAUUAAUUACUUGAGAAAAACGAGGCUAUUAUUUAAAUAAUGUUUUUUUAGUUUGGACAUCAAACGCGGAAACAAAAAUCCAUCUGUGGAAGUUAGUAGUUGGAAACAACCCAGAGACAGCACAGCAGAAACAAGCAAGUACACAAAAUUUUUAACUCUCUGGAGACAUCUUUUAGAAAAUAUGAAUUGAAGAAGAAAACAAAUACAUUGAAUCUGCCUAAAAAGAAUCCCAUUUGUCUUUUUAUUUUAUUUUUUUUAUUUUGCAUGUGAUUUUUCUACAAAUUGAAUUUUCUUUUUCUUUUUUUUUUGACUAUAUAUAUAUUUAAUUACAUGGACAAACCUUGCUUGUUCUCCUCUCUCUCUCUUUCAUUUUAUCUUUUUUUCUUUUCCCAUCUUUGUUGACUGCCCAUUGCCUUGAUUCAAACAGAUUUUACAUCCUUCUUCUCUUUUUCAUCAUGGGUAUGUUUCUUUUUCUGAGUUUUUUUUUUCUUUUGUCUGAAAAUCUUGUUUUUUGAUCUUUCAUCAAGGUCCUUUCUUUCUGUUUUGAUGUUUUAUAUAUAUAUAUAUAUAUAUAUAUAUAUAUUUUUUUUUUUCUCUUAUGAAGAUUUAUUUGAUCUCUUGCAAAUUUGUUAGUUGGGAAGAAUUUGGAACGACUGAAUUUCCUACUUUGCCUUGCAUUUCCAGUAUAAGACAGAUCAAUUGAAUUUGGGAAUGCCUGGAAGUGAAAAGGAACCGACUUUUUCCAUUUUUUUUGUAAAAAGUUAACAGUUUUUGGCUUGAUCUAUACAUUUUUAGACUUAUUUUUGUGUCAGUUUUCUGUAUUAAAGCAUCAAUUAUCUAUCUGUUAUAGAUAAAUUGGUUACAAUAUUAAUGGCCUUUUUGCUCUUUUUGGCUUUAUAGUGUCUGAAGCUAAAGAUAGAACCAUUUCUGUUGCCUCUGCUUUUCCUGGUCAUCAAGGAGUUAAUUUUCAAUUUUUCACCUGUCUCUCAGUAUUUUGCUCCUGGGAUUAAUGAUAAGAACUAAUAUCAAAUGGCCUGUUCAUGGUGGUCAGCAGUAGAAUUAUUUGGUAUCAACAUAUUAGUUUUAUUCAUUGAAUUUUACCUAUUGUUUGAACAUCUUCAGUAUGGAAAUGGAGAUGACUUGACUGCCAUAAAUGUUCAUAUCUGAUAGUUUAAUGAUAAGAAAUAACAUCAAAUGGCCUGUUCACGGUGUUCAGCAGUAGAAUAUCAACAUAUUCCGUUCAUUCAUUGAAUUUUACCUAUUGUUUUAACAUCUUCAGUAUGGCAAUGGAGAUGACUCCACUUCAUAAAUGUUCAUAUCUGAUAGGUUUUUUAGCUGUGUUACCUUUUAUAGAUCAUAGUGAUGGUUACAUCAUUGAUGAUCUCGCUUGGAUUGUAAUAGUAACGAUUGAUAUAUACUUGAUUAACGCGGUAGAUUUCAUUUGCUUUAUUAGGAGG